UUUUAAUUACAAAAGUAAAUAUAUAAUAUAAUAUUUGUUGCUGCCUUGUUCUAUAUAAAUGUUUCUAACAUGCAGGUAACAUUUAUAAAUGUAUUAGUUUGAAUAAAUCAUUUUAAUAAAGUUACAUUAUAGGCAGGAAUGUUUGACUGGAAAUAUAAACGAUGUUGUACAUAAUGCAGAUAGCUUAGGCAAAAAAGAGAUUGGUGAAAUGGAGAAUGAGACUAACUAGGGUGAAAAAAAAUGAAUAUUAAUAUGUGAAUGGUACUUUGUUUAACAUCUACCUGUUUCUACAGAUACAGUACAGACGCAUUUAUAAAUGGGCUUGAUGUUUUUUUGAAUUAAAUAUGUUGUAUUGA